rnacentral:rRNA from 1 species
CACUAUCGUUAACUGAAUACAUAGGUUAACGAGGCGAACCGGGGGAACUGAAACAUCUAAGUACCCCGAGGAAAAGAAAUCAACCGAGAUUCCCCCAGUAGCGGCGAGCGAACGGGGAGCAGCCCAGAGUCUGAAUCAGCUUGUGUGUUAGUGGAACGGUCUGGAAAGUCCGACGGUACAGGGUGAUAGUCCCGUACACCAAAAUGCACAGGCUGUGAACUCGAAGAGUAGGGCGGGACACGUGGUAUCCUGUCUGAAUAUGGGGGGACCAUCCUCCAAGGCUAAAUACUCCUGACUGACCGAUAGUGAACCAGUACCGUGAGGGAAAGGCGAAAAGAACCCCGGCGAGGGGAGUGAAAAAGAACCUGAAACCGUGUACGUACAAGCAGUGGGAGCACCUUCGGGUGUGACUGCGUACCUUUUGUAUAAUGGGUCAGCGACUUAUAUUCUGUAGCAAGGUUAACCGUAUAGGGGAGCCGCAGGGAAACCGAGUCUUAACUGGGCGUUAAGUUGCAGGGUAUAGACCCGAAACCCGGUGAUCUAGCCAUGGGCAGGUUGAAGGUUGGGUAACACUAACUGGAGGACCGAACCGACUAAUGUUGAAAAAUUAGCGGAUGACUUGUGGCUGGGGGUGAAAGGCCAAUCAAACCGGGAGAUAGCUGGUUCUCCCCGAAAGCUAUUUAGGUAGCGCCUCGUGAACUCAUCUUCGGGGGUAGAGCACUGUUUCGGCUAGGGGGUCAUCCCGACUUACCAACCCGAUGCAAACUACGAAUACCGAAGAAUGUUAUCACGGGAGACACACGGCGGGUGCUAACGUCCGUCGUGAAGAGGGAAACAACCCAGACCGCCAGCUAAGGUCCCAAAGUCAUGGUUAAGUGGGAAACGAUGUGGGAAGGCACAGACAGCCAGGAUGUUGGCUUAGAAGCAGCCAUCAUUUAAAGAAAGCGUAAUAGCUCACUGGUCGAGUCGGCCUGCGCGGAAGAUGUAACGGGGCUAAACCAUGCACCGAAGCUGCGGCAGCGACACUAUGUGUUGUUGGGUAGGGGAGCGUUCUGUAAGCCUGCGAAGGUGACCUGUGAGGGUUGCUGGAGGUAUCAGAAGUGCGAAUGCUGACAUAAGUAACGAUAAAGCGGGUGAAAAGCCCGCUCGCCGGAAGACCAAGGGUUCCUGUCCAACGUUAAUCGGGGCAGGGUGAGUCGACCCCUAAGGCGAGGCCGAAAGGCGUAGUCGAUGGGAAACAGGUUAAUAUUCCUGUACUUGGUGUUACUGCGAAGGGGGGACGGAGAAGGCUAUGUUAGCCGGGCGACGGUUGUCCCGGUUUAAGCAUGUAGGCUGAUUGUCCAGGCAAAUCCGGAUAAUCAAGGCUGAGGUGUGAUGACGAGGCACUACGGUGCUGAAGUAACAAAUGCCCUGCUUCCAGGAAAAGCCUCUAAGCAUCAGGUAACAUUAAAUCGUACCCCAAACCGACACAGGUGGUCAGGUAGAGAAUACCAAGGCGCUUGAGAGAACUCGGGUGAAGGAACUAGGCAAAAUGGUGCCGUAACUUCGGGAGAAGGCACGCUGGUGUGUAGGUGA